AUGAAGCAUUCCAUAUUUUUUAAAAUUGGAACAAUACAGAGAAGAUUAGCAUGGCUCCUAUGAAGAGGGGAAGGGACAAGAAGCCACUAUAAAGGGUCCUGAAUUUC
ensembl:snRNA U6 U6 spliceosomal RNA